GCCUUCGUGGUGUAGUGGUCAGCACACUCGAUGCGUAUUCGAGGGGUCCGUGGUUCGAGUCCCGGCGAAGGCA
rfam:Stegodyphus mimosarum contig42728, whole genome shotgun sequence.